rnacentral:misc_RNA from 1 species
GAUGAAGAACGCAGUGAAAUGCGAUAACUAGUGUGAAUUGCAGAAUUCCGUGAAUCAUCGAGUCUUUGAACGCACAUUGCGCCCCCUGGUAUUCCGGGGGGCAUGCCUGUCCGAGCGUCAUUGCUGCCCUCAAGCACGGCUUGUGUGUUGGGCCUCCGUCCUCCUCCCGGGGGACGGGCCCGAAAGGCAGCGGCGGCACCGCGUCCGGUCCUCGAGCGUAUGGGGCUUCGUCACCCGCUCUUGUAGGCCCGGCCGGCGCUUGCCGACACAUCAAUCUUUUUUCCAGGUUGACCUCGGAUCAGGUAGGGAUACCCGCUGAACUUAAGCAUAUCAAUAAGCGGAGGA